rnacentral:rRNA from 1 species
AGAACGAACGCUGGCGGCGUGGAUAAGACAUGCAAGUCGAGCGCUGGUUAAUUGGUAGCAAUACCGAUUGAUCGGAGCGGCGCAAGGGUGCGUAACACGUGGGUAAUUUGCCAUAAAGUUGGGGAUAACUCGCUGAAAGGCGAGCUAAUACCGAAUGUGACCGGAUGGAGGCAUCUCUGACCGGUCAAAGCUGGGGACCGCAAGGCCUGGCGCUUUUUGAUAAACCCGCGGCCUAUCAGCUAGUUGGUGAGGUAACGGCCCACCAAGGCUAAGACGGGUAGCUGGUCUGAGAGGACGACCAGCCACACUGGAACUGAGACACGGUCCAGACACCUACGGGUGGCAGCAGUCGAGAAUUUUUCACAA